rnacentral:lncRNA from 1 species
UGCUAAACCAUUCCCUCUUCCCCUCAAGAUAGCCAGGAAGCAGUCCCUGUGCCUUUCCUGAUUACCUCCUGGCUUAUCUCCAGGUGCCAGACUACGCUGGAUGUGUGGGCAGAUCUCUCUCACAUAAGUAAACCUCAGAAGAUGAUGAAUGAACAAGACCUGAAUGUGUGUCACAUUAUGAAACCAGGCAUGUGGAAGCACAUCUCCAAAACAGGGUAUUCCAAGCCACACGGGUGCAAAAGGAAAAGAAGAUGACAGAAGAUCCACCAUCUUCCUAGUAUAAAGCUUUAAAAUGCAAAUUCAUUUCCACUUGAUCACAGACCAGGAAGAUGAGUGUUUGAUGAUACCAUCUGACACCAUUGAUUGACCAUCUGGGAUACGUUUGGUCCAAGUCCUCACCUCAGUUUCAGUUUGCGGAGAUAAAAAAUAUGACCCAAACCUACCCAUGAAAGUUGCCUACCUGGCAGUGUUCUCAAGACCUAGUGAGAACCAAAGAUGGCAAUUGGAGCUGGAGAGUGAUUAGUUAGGAUCCAGGACCCAAGUCAGGGGAGAAGGCAGGCACUGGGGAAAACUUCUGUUCUUCGUCCUGAUAUUUGGAGAAAAGGUUGGGAAGUAAUUUGAAAAAAUUAUGAGCCUCUUCACAUAAUUUUAUGUUGACAUCUAAUUGUUUUCAUUACAAACUUGACAUUUCUUAAGUAUUAUAAUUCUGAAUAUUAAAAUUUAAAAUAUUCUUGAACUGUC